GUGGGUAGUUUGACUGGGGCGGUCUCCUCCUAAAGAGUAACGGAGGAGCACGAAGGUUGGCUAAUCCUGGUCGGACAUCAGGAGGUUAGUGCAAUGGCAUAAGCCAGCUUGACUGCGAGCGUGACGGCGCGAGCAGGUGCGAAAGCAGGUCAUAGUGAUCCGGUGGUUCUGAAUGGAAGGGCCAUCGCUCAACGGAUAAAAGGUACUCCGGGGAUAACAGGCUGAUACCGCCCAAGAGUUCAUAUCGACGGCGGUGUUUGGCACCUCGAUGUCGGCUCAUCACAUCCUGGGGCUGAAGUAGGUCCCAAGGGUAUGGCUGUUCGCCAUUUAAAGUGGUACGCGAGCUGGGUUUAGAACGUCGUGAGACAGUUCGGUCCCUAUCUGCCGUGGGCGCUGGAGAACUGAGGGGGGCUGCUCCUAGUACGAGAGGACCGGAGUGGACGCAUCACUGGUGUUCGGGUUGUCAUGCCAAUGGCACUGCCCGGUAGCUAAAUGCGGAAGAGAUAAGUGCUGAAAGCAUCUAAGCACGAAACUUGCCCCGAGAUGAGUUCUCCCUGAGACUUAAAGUCUCCUGAAGGAACGUUGAAGACGACGACGUUGAUAGGCCGGGUGUGUAAGCGCAGCGAUGCGUUGAGCUAACCGGUACUAAUGAACCGUGAGGCUUAACCCUACAACGCCGA
rnacentral:rRNA from 1 species